rnacentral:tRNA from 1 species
UUCCCUGUAGCUCAGAUGGUAAAGAAUCUGCCUGCAAUGCAGAAAGAUCCCUGGGUUUGAUCCCUGGUUGGGAAG